GGCUGCAACUCGCCUACAUGAAGUCGGAAUCGCUAGUAAUCGCGGAUCAGCAUGCCGCGGUGAAUGCGUUCCCGGGUCUUGUACACACCGCCCGUCACACCAUGGAAGUUGGGGCGCCCGAAGUUGCCUAAGAAAUAAGGUACCUAAGGCGAAACCAAUGACUGGGGUGGAAGUCGUAACAAGGUAGC
rnacentral:rRNA from 1 species